GGCAGUUACAUACCCCAUAUAGACCUCAAGCAAGUGGGCAAGUUGAAAAGAUGAAUCAUUUAAUUAAGCAACAGAUAGCAAAAAUUGGUCAAGAGACUAAUCUAACUUGGCCCCAAUCUCUUCCCCUGGCAUUGCUUAGAAUGAGAGUGAAACCAAAAACAAAGGAAAAUUUAAGUCCCUUUGAAAUAUUGUAUGGGAGACCAUAUCAAUUUCAAUUUACAGGAGAAGAUUUAACCCAACUGGGUGCAGGGUAUUUGUGUGACUACAUGGUAUCCCUCCAGAAGCAGUUGGAAAAUAUAAAUAAACAAGUUUUAGGAACCAGGGCUAGAGGGUUAGAUCAACCGAUCCAUCCCUUUAAACCGGGUGAUUAUGUAUAUGUAAAGAUUUUUUCAGGACAACCUCUGGAGGAGAAAUGGGACGGACCCUAUCAAGUGUUGCUGACGACCUUCACCGCCAUUAAGAUCAAGGAACAGCCGGCCUGGAUUCACUAUUCAAGAGUAAAGAGAGCACCUGAGAGGCCAUGGACGGUCAUCCCUACAGGACCCACGGGUCUGCGAUUCUCCAGAUCAUGAUGAUCAAAGUGGAAGGAUCUCCACCGACUUAGAAGAAAUUUGGAAACAGACCAAAAUACUACAUGAGAUAACAAAGGAUGACCUCUCAUGGGGAUUUAAAGAAUUGUGGGACAAACUAACAUCCUGGCUGCCAAAUUUUGGGUGGCUAAAGCAUAUUUUUAUUAUGGUUAUAAUUUUAAUGACUUUAGGAAUGAUGGUCUGCAUUAUGCUUAAGUGUUUUGUGUGGUGUUGUCAGGGCACGGUAGAAAAUUACGAAAGAUGGAAACAAAAUAAAAUCAGACAUCAAGUAGAAACCGGAAAAUAUUUUACACGGUCUCUCGGAAGUAGUGGAAUCCUAUAGUUGCAAAAGAAUUUGCAAAGGUUUAAAGAAAAGGGGGGAUUGAUAUAGAGAACAAACUGCUUAUUGCUUAAUGAUUGUCUCUCUGUAACUUUACAUACCAAGGACUGGUGUUUGUCAAGGAUUAAGCCUGUCAGAGACUGGUACUUGGGAGUGAUGAGCAAGAAGGAGCCAUGAGCAAUCACAAAACUUAAUUAAAUGCUUGAUGAAUUUACGAUCUUGUUGAGAAGGCACAAGCAGAGGCCUUGCUUGAAUAGAUAGGGCCGGAAAAGAUAAGAACUCCUGCCUUUGUUCUCGUCCUUGUAGAUAAUUUAGCUUAAACUAGCCAUAUGGUUUUACACCACUAAUGAAAACUUAGAUAAUAAGAG